rnacentral:rRNA from 1 species
AGUGAACGCUGGCGGUAGGCCUAACACAUGCAAGUCGAACGGCAGCACAGUAAGAGCUUGCUCUUACGGGUGGCGAGUGGCGGACGGGUGAGGAAUACAUCGGAAUCUACUUUUUCGUGGGGGAUAACGUAGGGAAACUUACGCUAAUACCGCAUACGACCUACGGGUGAAAGCAGGGGAUCUUCGGACCUUGCGCGAGUGAAUGAGCCGAUGUCGGAUUAGCUAGUUGGCGGGGUAAAGGCCCACCAGGGCGACGAUCCGUAGCUGGUCUGAGAGGAUGAUCAGCCACACUGGAACUGAGACACGGUCCAGACUCCUACGGGAGGCAGCAGUGGGGAAUAUUGGACAAUGGGCGCAAGCCUGAUCCAGCCAUACCGCGUGGGUGAAGAAGGCCUUCGGGUUGUAAAGCCCUUUUGUUGGGAAAGAAAAGCAGCAGGUUAAUACCCCGCUGUUCUGACGGUACCCAAAGAAUAAGCACCGGCUAACUUCGUG